rnacentral:rRNA from 1 species
AUUGAACGCUGGCGGCAGGCCUAACACAUGCAAGUCGAACGGAGUGGCGGACGGGUGAGUAAUGCCUAGGAACCUGCCUGGUAGUGGGGGAUAACGUCCGGAAACGGGCGUUAAUACCGCAUACUAUCAGAUGAGCCUAGGUCGGAUUAGCUGGUUGGUGGGGUAAAGGCCUACCAUGGCGACGAUCAGUAACUGGUCGGAGAGGAUGAUCGGAAACACGGGAACGGAGACACGGUCCAUACGCUAACGGAGGGAAGCAGUGGGGAAUAUUGGACAAGGGGCGAAAGCCGGACCCAGCAAGGCCGGGGAUGGGAAGAAGGUCUGCGGAUGGUAAAGCACUUUAUGUGGGGAGGCGUUACCUACAGAGUAAGCAACGGCUAACUUCGUGCCAGCAGCCGCGGUAAUUC